rnacentral:tRNA from 1 species
GAGGGUAUAGCUCAGUGGUAAAGUGCAUCCUUAGCAUGCAUGAGGUCCUGAGUUCAAUCCCCAGUGCCUCCA